rnacentral:rRNA from 1 species
UACGUAGGGACCAAGCGUUGUUCGGAUUUACUGGGCGUAAAGGGCGCGUAGGCGGCGUGGUAAGUCACUUGUGAAAUCUCUGAGCUUAACUCAGAACGGCCAAGUGAUACUGCUGUGCUAGAGUGCAGAAGGGGCAAUCGGAAUUCUUGGUGUAGCGGUGAAAUGCGUAGAUAUCAAGAGGAACACCUGAGGUGAAGACGGGUUGCUGGGCUGACACUGACGCUGAGGCGCGAAGGCGUGGGGAGCGAACGGG